rnacentral:rRNA from 1 species
GUCUAUUUGAGGUUAUAAAUAGUCUGGCCUGCUCACUGAUAAUUUAAUUUAAGAGCCGCGGUAUUUUGACCGUGCAAAGGUAGCAUAAUCAUUAGGGAUUUAAUUGGGACCUGGUAUGAAUGGUUGGACAAAGAAGAAGCUGUCUUUAUUUUAAAAUUUGAAUUUUACUUUUAAGUGAGAAGGCUUAAAUAAAUCAAAGGGACGAUAAGACCCUAUAAAGCUUUAUAAAUUAUUUAAGUUUAACUGAUUUAAUAUAUAAAAGUUAAGUUUAAUUAUUUUGUUUUGUUGGGGUGACAUGAGUAUAAAUUAUAUUAACUGCUUAAUUAUAAUACAUAAUAUGUGGAUAAAAGUUUAAAUGAUCCUUUAUAAAGAUUUAAAGACUAAGUUACUUUAGGGAUAACAGCGUUAUUUCUUUUGAGAGUUCAUAUCGAAAAAGAAGAUUGCGACCUCGAUGUUGAAUUAAAAUAUCUAUAUAAUGCAGGUGUUAUAAAAGAGGGUCUGUUCGACCUUUAAAUUUUU